rnacentral:rRNA from 1 species
AAAUUGAAGAGUUUGAUCAUGGCUCAGAUUGAACGCUGGCGGCAGGCCUAACACAUGCAAGUCGAACGGUAACAGGAAUCAGCUUGCUGAUUUGCUGACGAGUGGCGGACGGGUGAGUAA